CGGAAGUCGGCCUCAAAAAUAGGCACGAACCCAGUCGGGAAUCUUUCGAGUAAUGAAUCUUUCGUUUUCUCCAAAGUCGUUUGGAUACAUUCACUAGGCUGAUUCUGGGAUUCUGGAAUGACUUGCAUCCGGUUUCAGAGUUUGCCACAGGUAUAAAACGCGAGAGAUUUCUCUGUCGAACAGUGUGUUUCUUAUUUUGAAGUCCAUACACAGUGGACGUUGCGCGCCGGUUGAUGUGACAAAAUUGAUAUCCAUGCAUCAGGACAUGACGCCGUCCCAGGAAGAAAAUCUCAUUCAUGCAUUAGUGCAAAAAGCUGCUCGCAUCGAUUCCCUGGAAUCCGAUCGCCAUUUGUUGCAGAAUCUGCUUUCUGAUAUUAAUUCCGGAAGAUUCACCGCAGCGGGAAGCAAUGUCAAGAGGUCGACGCUGGCCGUGGAACGCCUAAGCAAGCCGACACUUGAUAUGGGAUUCGGUCGCUCCGUAGCUGGCGGUGCAAUUGGCGCAGCCCAUGCUGCACUCAUUGACUCUCAACAUCCCGGUGGUCCGGGAUGAAGCACCACCUAACCACUGCCAUAGUAAAAAGUUAUAAUCAAACAUUUCAUUGAUUGGAUACCGGCAACUGUCUUAAACUGUGUAUGCCUCUGAAUAACUAAACUGCGCGAUCCUUCUUAUAGUUAGAGCCCAGCUAACAAUUUCCAAUUUCAUGUUUUGGAGUUUUACUGUUCAUUUUUCUCCUUUGCAGUUUCGCCAUAAUUAAUAAUACAAAUACGUCAUGCUGUUUGUUGUGCUAGAGUUGAGCUUU